AUUGAACGCUGGCGGCAGGCCUAACACAUGCAAGUCGAGCGGAUGACGGGAGCUUGCUCCUUGAUUCAGCGGCGGACGGGUGAGUAACGCCUAGGAAUCUGCCUGGUAGUGGGGGACAACGUUUCGCAAGGAACGCUAAUACCGCAUACGUCCUACGGGAGAAAGCAGGGGACCUUCGGGCCUUGCGCUAUCAGAUGAGCCUAGGUCGGAUUAGUUAGUAGGUGAGGUAAUGGCUCACCUAGGCGACGAUCCGUAACUGGUCUGAGAGGAUGAUCAGUCACACUGGAACUGGGACACGGUCCAGACCCCUCCGGGAGGCAGGAGUGGGGAAUACUGGACUAUGGGCGCAAGCCUGAUCCAGCCAGGCCGCGUGUGUGAAGAAGGUCUUCGGAUUGUAAAGCACUUUAAGUUGGGAGGAGGGGCAGUAAGCUAAUACCUCGCUGUUUUGACGUUACCGACAGAAUAAGCACCGGCUAACUCUGUGCCAGCCGCCGCCGUAAGAC
rnacentral:rRNA from 1 species